GCAUCUUUCUUACAAAAUUACACAUAAUUUUUGGUAGAGACCAAAUGAAAAAAUAAAUACGCUACUGUUGAGAUUUCGAGAAAGCUUGGAUCAAAGAAACAGACAACUAGAAAGAAUUUGGCUUCAUUGGUUUUCCAACAUGUUGCUUCCUUUAGUAUUUCUAAUAUUCGUUGCUCCAUGGUAUCUCGUUCGGAAAGAUCAAGUUAAACAACCGAACUGGAAACCGAUUUGACAUUUUUUACCACGGAGCUGAUUGAAACUAGCUGGCGAGCUUUUUAGGGAAUUCGGAUGGCACAACGCAAAACCCUACUAAAGCUCCUACCAAGCACUGAAAGAGGUGGCGAAACUGUUCGAUCCUAUAGGAUUGCUAGCACCAUUUAUUAUAGUAGCGAAAAUUUCAAUUCAGCAUCUUUGAUAAUCUGGGUUUAGUUAGGAUACUUCCCGGUUACGACAAUUACCUAAAUAAAGAAUGGGGAACAAAUUAAAAUAAAUACAAAUAGGAAGAUGAGUCCAUCAUAACCAAAACUAUAAAUUAGUUGAGCUGCAUGGAUUCUUCGACGCUCCGUAAACAGCGUACAUUGCCACAGCAAAUGGAAAUUUCACUCAAAAUAUAAGUAUAAUAUCGACUAAGACUGAAGUUUUACCAAUUAAAGCAAUAUCUUUGCCAUAGCUCAAAUUAAGUUAAGCAUUUCUUUUAUCUAAAUUCGGUCGAAGUAUAGUAAAAACACCAAAUUUUAGUCAAGCAAUCACGAUACAUUGGUACGGACAGAUUUAGAAGUAGUGUUUGCUUGCCUGUAAUCCCACCAACCAAAUGAACAUCGUUUGCACCUAGAGUUGGUGACAUAAAUUACACAAUGGGAAAUAAUGCCUCGCCUUGAAUUUCUCCUAGAUAGAAUCUUGCAGUUUGUGCACUUCGCGGAACAUCAGCUAUUGAAUGGAGGUUCUGUAAGUUAUAGUGGCAGCAACCUGAUUGGCUUUACUAACCAGAACAAUGGGCUUCAGAAAAGAAAAAUUGCUCUAAGAAAUCUCGAGAGAAGAAAACUGCAACUCAUCUGGUAUUUUCUAGACUUCAGAGAAACGACACUUUCAAAGAAUUAGCAUCAAAAUAUUCAUUGUAGCAAAAAUUACUUAAAGUCACUUGUUACUUAACCAGAUUAGUAACCAAUAUCAGAAACACGUCGAAAAGAAUUUCAAACAAGUACAUUCAAACAGAAGAAAUUAAUGACAACCAGAAAUAAGACUUAUACAGCAGAAAAAAUCCCAAUAGUAGUCGCAGAUUCACUUAAAAUUGAGAGAGGGUGAACGAAUGAGUGAUUUCGAAUUGUCGAUACCCCAUUAUUUUACCCGGUCGAGAACUGUUUACUAAUUUAUUAAUGAACAAAUUACUUGAAGAUACUUUUCAUGGUGGUCCAGGAUUUAUGCUAAAUACUACUGGUUAAUAAACACGAAGAGCAUAAUAAAACACUACUCACACAAAUGUAUAAAUUAAUGUAAAUUAAAGAUAGCAACUCAAACAAAAAUGAAUACCAAAACCAAGACUUCAAUAAAUUAGACCGUUUAGUGACUUUGGAUAUGAUUACUGCGAACCUUUUGAAAACCCAUACUGGCAGAAAUACUAAGAGUUGUUACAGCAGAACGGCUUAUUGCGCAUUAUCACAGGAAGACGGAGUAAAUUUGAGCAAAUCUUUUACGACAAUUUACGAUAGGUACAAAUUUUGUAGCAGCAAAUAAGCAAUUGAAUAAAAAAACCAAGCAAAGGGUUUAAAAUUUAUUCUACCAGCUUUAUUCUGCCAAGAUCUCAUCAUUUUGGAGUACUCUGAGAAGUAGGAGUUUGUUCUACCAAAAUGUAUUGGAAGUGAAUUUUGGUUAAUAUAACUUUAUCUUAUGAAGAUUUUGCUACGUGUUCUAAUUCACGUCCAUUAUGUGAAAUGAAUAGUGAUCCAAGUGAUUUAACUGCACUAACUUAAGUUCAUUUUUUAAAAGGAAUAAGUAGAUUCGUAACUGACACCACCAAUAUCUUCCUUAUUAGAACUGAAAAUCAAUUGCCUUAACAGAUGAAAAUAUAUAAAAACAUAGCAAUAAAUAUUUUGGCCUCGAUGAAGUUAGUGAAUAUCUAAGUAGAAUACAACAGGGACCAAAGUGGACCGAAAAGAUUACAAAAAUAAAAGUGGAUAACCUAAUUCUUCUGAAGGAUGAAUGUCGAUGGCUAAUGGGACGAGUAGUAGUACACUUGGAGUAUGAUGGACUGCUUUGUAUUUCUAUAAUAAAAACAAAAUUAACUGGUUUAUUGAAGCGAUCUAUUGCAAACACUUGUGUUUUACCGUUAAAUUUACCAGCUUAAACAAAUAAUUCGAAUGGGAUUCAUGAGAAACACGAAGAAGGAUUUGAAGGGCAAACUUAUUUACAUAUCCUAUGUUUAAAUGACUUAAAACUAUCGAAAGAGACGCCACUUAUACAACUAAACUAAUUUAAAACUAGCUAGAAACCCUAACUGGCCUAUCUCAAAUUUUUAUAACACAAAUUACUAUAUUUUUUCAUUAUCCACGUACCCCACUUUCAUAUAAUCAUGAUAUGCAAGACAAGGCGCUAUAAUCCCUUAUUUCCGAUCCAAAGCUUUUGUUUAUAUAAUUUUUGGCAUGAUAGCUGACAACACUUUGAUUUCUCCCAAAACAAAAAAUAAAUUGCCAUAAGGGCCUGAAAUAAAGUAUAUUAUCACAUACAUCAAACUUCAAAAUUGAUAUCAUCAUAUACAUAAAUCAUUGUUAUGAAAUUUACUACAUCAGAUUAUCACAUAACGUAAUCACACACAAGGUACACAGUCAUCAUACAGCAAUAUAUAUUGCGAUAACAACGAUAGCAAAAUAGAAAUCAACAUCUGCAUACGUUACAUACUUGUAUUAUGAGUUGUGCAUCAUUAUCGGUAAUUUUUAUUUAUUAUUGCAUAUGUACCCACUUGUAAAUUAUUCAGCAGUGAACACGUUUUAAGCAUGGUUUAUCUACAACGUUACAAGAAAUGUAGCCUAAAAACCAUAUGUAUACAUAUACAUAUACAUGUAUGUAUAUGUUGCCAUAUAAAAUCAUAACAGUACAAAAAAUUUUCUUUCCAAUAAUAUUGGAAGCUUUUGAUCUAAAUAUUCGGGAAUAUUUUUUUCACAUUUAAUCAUUACUUAUAGGCUCAAAAAUGUUAAUUGAAUUUAAAUGGAACAUUAAUUCCGGGGAUUUAAUCAAAUUGCAAUAAGAAAAAUUCUUAUAUAACCGAGUUUGCACUUCCACUAAAUUAUUUUCUUACCAUUUCCAUAUAUGUAGUCAUAGACAUCUUUAUAUACAAUUUACUAACACCAAAGAUCCACAUACUAAA